CUGGCCGCGGUCACACUCAGCCAAACACGCGGACUGCGGUAGGUCGUGCCAUAGGUGGCGCCACGAUCGCAGUCGAACAUUCCCGCGCCCGCACAUUUUCUUUGAAAUUUCGUGUAAAUGCAAAGAAAAAAGUGAUAACGGAACAUCGGUGACUUAGUGCGCUGUGAUUUAUGAUAUUAUACAAAUGACUCUAUUUUUUUACCGAUAUUAUUCAAAUUUCGUAAAUAGAAAUAGGGCUACCGACGGGAUCGCUAGUGAAACGUACUGACUUCAGCGUUUCAAGUGGAAAGGAUUACGUGGACGGUACUUGGGAUUAACUUCACAGAUAACGUCAUAAACUCGCAACGACUUAAAUCUUCCAGAAACUAGAGAAAUUUUGAGAAAAUUUGAAACCAAUCUGGUUUAGAGAUUUUCUACUAAAUGCUUCGGUUGUGACCAGAUUAUAUAACUAGAAUAUUAAAAUUAAAAUAAAUGAGAAUAUUUAGCAAUAGAAAAGAAGAUAUAUCAUCAAGCAAUAUGACGACGUUAAGUAUUAGGAGUACGUUGAGGAUAGUGUGGACGUUGGUGGCAGCCAUGGUCUUCCUGACUAGAAGUAGUGCGGCGCCUGCCUUCGAGGGCGGACUCAGCCAGGCUACGAUGUACCUAGAUAAAUUUGGAUACCUAAGCCCUAAAAUACGGAAUCCCACAAGUGGGCAUAUCAUUGAUGAGAGUUUAUUCCGAAAAGCUGUUGCUGAAUUCCAGAGCUUCGCUGGACUGAACACAACAGGCGAAUUAGACGAAGAGACGAAAAAGGUGAUGGCGAUGCCUAGGUGUGGCGUGAGAGACAAAGUAGGCUUCGGAGAGAGUCGUGCCAAGAGAUACGCGCUGCAAGGAUCCAGAUGGCGCAUCAAGAACCUGACGUACAGGAUAGCCAAGUACCCGUCAAGACUGAACCACGCCGACGUUGACUUGGAGCUCGCCAAAGCGUUCUCCGUCUGGUCCGACUACACCGAUUUGACUUUCACACAGAAGCGCUCCGGACAAGUUCAUAUUGAAAUUAGAUUCGAGACGGGUGAGCACGGAGAUGGUGACCCAUUUGACGGACCUGGAGGCACCCUGGCCCAUGCUUAUUUCCCUGUUUAUGGCGGUGACGCGCAUUUUGAUGAUGCUGAAACCUGGACCAUCAACUCCAAAAGAGGGACUAACUUAUUUCAGGUGGCUGCCCACGAGUUCGGCCAUUCCCUGGGUCUCUCCCACAGCGACGUGCGGUCCGCGCUGAUGGCCCCCUUCUACCGGGGCUAUGACCCUGCCUUCCAGCUCGACCAGGACGACGUCCAGGGUAUUCAGGCGUUGUACGGCCGUAAAACCCAAACGGAUAUCGGUGGAGGGUCUGCGCCCGCGCCGGCCCCCAACACGCCGCGGCCUUCCGCCGAGGAUCCCGCACUCUGUGCUGACCCCAAGUUUGAUACCAUCUUCAAUGGUGCCGAUGGUUCUACAUUCAUAUUCAAGGGAGAAAACUACUGGAGACUAACUGAAGACGGCGUAGCAUCUGGCUACCCUCGUCUGAUCUCCCGCGCUUGGCCUGGCUUGCCUGGCAACAUCGACGCUGCCUUCACCUACAAGAACGGCAAGACUUACUUCUUCAAGGGCUCCAAGUACUGGAGGUACAACGGACAGAAGAUGGAUGGAGACUACCCGAAAGAUAUCAGCGAAGGUUUCAGUGGCAUUCCUGAUAAUUUAGACGCUGCCUUGGUCUGGUCUGGCAAUGGCAAGAUCUACUUCUACAAAGGCUCUAAAUUUUGGAGGUUUGACCCCACGAAGCGGCCGCCAGUCAAGGCCACCUACCCUAAGCCCAUUUCAAACUGGGAGGGCAUUCCGGACAAUAUUGAUGCUGCCUUACAAUACACAAAUGGAUACACAUAUUUCUUUAAAGGAGGUUCCUAUUGGAGGUUUAAUGAUAGAGCAUUUAGCGUUGACACAGACAACCCCGCGUUCCCACGGUCCACCGCGUUCUGGUGGCUCGGCUGCAGCAGCGCGCCGCGCGGCACCGUUGGAGGUAACUCGCGCUACGCUGCCUACACCAACUCGCCCGACGAGGACGAUGUCGGCGAUAUCAUUUUCGACGCAGGUGUAAAAUCAUCCGCUCCCAGGUCAUUCUUCUGGUUCAGGAAAUAGCCUCCGCGGACAGUUCCUGAAUAUUGUACAUAGAGAAUUGCAUAAAGAACAAAGACUCAAUUAGUUUCUAGGAGAAUAUAUGCGAAUACCAGUGAGAUUAUAACAUAAGCGGUGAUUUUAGUACCGGCGGGCUUGUCCACGCUGUCUAUGGGGAGGAAUCAACAGGCGGGAGAGAUAGCGGCGCGGGGGGAGUGCGGUUGUCGCUAGCGGUGGCGCUGGUGGCAGCGCUCUCGCGGCUGACCUCCCGCGUCUAGCGGCUGAGCUGACACCGGCCGCCCGCCGCCCCGCUCCCCGCCCCGCACUCCGGCCCGCUCCGGCCUGGACCGCGUCACCGACUGUGAUCGUGUGUUGUAUGCCUGUCUGCGUUCGAUAUAUUGUGUAUAGCGAAUGCACUGCUGUGAUGACGAAUGUGUCUUUUUAUACUGUUGCGAGAACGAUAAUAAUUUAAUUCGAAGUCAUAGUUUUUAUACUUAUUAUAAAUAGAUGAAGUAAGUUCGAGUGUGAUAUUGACGUAAGCGAAGUUUUUGUAUUAAAAUAUUUAAACAAACUAAA